rnacentral:lncRNA from 1 species
CAAGAAUAUGGGCUGGAGCCAGAUAGAAUGGGGGUGAAUCCUGCCCCUGCCCCUGACUAGCUGGGUGACCCUGGGCACCCCUUAUAAGCCUCAGUUUCCUCAUCUGGAAAAGGGGAGUGCGAAUGACAGCCACUUCCCUGGACUGAAGUGAGGAGCUAAAUGAGCCAGUGCAUAGGAAGGGCUUGGUGGUUGGCUACAAAGUUUUUAUCUUUAUUGUACAUAAUCAAGAUUAAUAAAGGGGUGGUCCAAAGAAAGUCCGGUCAUUCCUAUCACAUGGAAAAAGCAAUCAGGUGAUGAUAAGGCUUCUUUUCCUGGCUCUCGAGGAGGUAGGAAUAUGUGAUAUUUUUUCCUUCUGAAACUUUCUCUAGCUUGGUUGUAUUUCUUUUACCCAGCCCUUUCCCUGAGUGUCCCACACUAGACAGCUGGAGAUCAGUGAAGACUUUCCUCAUCCCCAAAUGAACUUGACCUUUAACCCGGGGCAAACUGAACAAAUAGGGGCAAACUGAACAAGUGGGGGCAAAAUGAAGAAAGGAGUUUGCUUUCCAUGCCGGCCAGACUUGCAAAUUCCUUUACCUGGGCUCUUGUUCUUGCUCCUUCCUGUAGCACGGUAAAAUGAAAACAAAUGAAAAACCCUGGGCAUUGGAUCAGGAGACCUGGGUUUGAAUUGUGCAUCUGCUACUCCCCUGCCAGGGUUCCUCUUCCAACAGAUCAGGGUCAGAACAGCCCCACCUUGGAGGGUGGAAGUGAAGUUUCUAGGAGGUAACCAUACCAAGUUCCUACUAUGCUGGUAAAAUGCCAGACUCAAGGUAGGUGUGAACGAGGCGCUCACUGAACGCUAGUGACCUCUGUGCAUGGGUGGUGCCCGGCGGUCACACACCAAUAAGACCCUGGCGCCUGGUGACACCUCUAAAUGUUUCUCACUGGCUUUCUUCUGUGUGGUUUGGCAGAUCUGUGACUUCUGCCCUUAGGUCAGAGACUUGGGAACCCAGGAGGCUCUGGGCAGGCGUGCCUGAGUGGUCAGGUUGGGACGUUUAGGAUUCCCGCACCCACCCUGCUCUUUUUCUAAGGGAUGCACUGUUUGUUGUUUGUUGAGCCUCUCGCUGGGCACUUGCAGGGGUCAAGUAACAAGUGGACCAUGGUGUGAGUCCUCAAUGCCACCCUGGCUAGAAUCCCCCAAAAUAUGCAUGUUCAAAUGAGAACAGCAAAGGGAACUAAUGUUUGCUUCAUGCCAACGAGAAACCACGUGAUGUUCCUCACUUAAUCUUUGCAGCAUCCUGAAAAGGUGGCAGUAAUUUGUUCCACUUUACAAAUGAAGUAGCUGAGAUACAGAGAAGUUAUGUAACUUGCUGAGGUCAUGUAGCCAACACAUACUGAUCUCUCACUCACAUGCUGAAAGUCCUUUGCUCUCUUCCACUUGCUCUGAGGACAAAUUCAAACUUCUUGCCACAGCUCACAUGCCCCUGUGUGGUCUGGCUCCACCCACAUUCCUGCCUUCUGCCUCCCUGCUGCAGCCAUCCUGUGCUCUUUUGGUUCUUUCAAACCGCUGGGCCUUUGCACCUGCUGUCCCUUUGCUUGGAAUACACUUUCUGCUCCUGGUUUAUCGGGCUAACUCCCAGCUAGCCCUUAGCCUAAUGUCACUUCCUUCAGAACCUUCCCCAGAAACACCCUGUGCUUCCCCUAUUGUGCCAUCCAUAAAGCUCCCAUUUAGUUACUCGGUCUGUCUUCUAUCUUGGGCUGUAUGUUCUGUGGGAGUAGAGGCCAUGGCUGUGCUGCUCACCACUGAAUUCCUAAGACCUGGUUCAGUAUAUGACACAUGGUAAGUACAGCACUUUAUAAAUACCGCUACAUGGACAGAGAGGUGGAUGGGUGGAUGGAUGAACAGAUGGGUGGGCAGAUGGGUGGGUGAAUGGACAGACAGGUGGGUGGGUGGAUGGGUGGAUAGGUAGAAGGGUGGAUGGAUGAAUGGAUGGGUGGGUGCAUGGAUAGAUAGGUAGAAGUGUGGAUGGAUGCAUGGGUUCAUGGGUGGGUAGACAGGUGAGUGGGUGGACAGGUAGACAGGUAGAAGAGUAGAUGGAUGGAUGGAUAGAUAGAAGGGUGGUUAAGUGGGUGGGUAGAUGGAUGAACAGGUGGGUGGAUGGAUGGGUAAACAGGUAAAAGGGUGGGUGGGUGGGUAGGUGGAUGGGUGGAUGGACAGGUGGGUAGGUGGAUAGAUGGAUGGCGAGAUGAUGGGCAGGUGGACAGAUGUGAGAUGAAGUUGCCUCACCUCUCUGAGCCUCAGUUUCUUC